UCGCUGGAGUAGCCGUCGUGAUGGUGACGGUUGUUGUUGGGGUCAGGAGGAGAGAUGCUGCUGCUAUGGCAGUGAACCAGGAAGGUCCCCUGGUGGUGACGGCGGUACAGCAUCCCGGCGGCCACCAGCAGCAUCAGGAUGAGGGAGCUGAGCAGGAAGAAGAGCACGUAGACACCUUUGGUCUCCGCUGACAGGCCUUGGCUGCAACCUCAACAAGACAGCAGCAACAGGAAGUCAGCACAUGUGGCAGAUGUGGAGUGAAGCGGUGAUCAGAGCACGAGUACCUGCAGCCGCCACGUCCACACAGACGGUUCCUCCAGAUCCCAGACGGGACUUGUCCAGGAAACCCGGCCGGCAGCCGCACGAGUACGAGCCGAACCGGUUCUCACAUUCUGCGUUAACGUCGCACAGCAUCAGCUGGGUCCCACACUCGUUCACGUCUGAAACGCACAAACACACACACGCACAACCUGCUGCUCACCAGUAGAAUUGAACUCUUUUUAGGACACAUCAUUACAUCCUUUUUCUGUCAGUGUUUUUUGAAGCCACUUUUCCACCUAUUUUCUCCAGCUCAUAUUAGAACAGACAGAAUGAUCCUUCACCACAGUUUCAAUGUUUAUCUGUUCAAUCCGUCACAAACAAAUAUUUGCAACACUUCCCGUACCAAAGUAAAAAUACUUCUUUGUUUUCAUAAAUCGGAAGCCAUAACCUACAAACAGGGCAAGAAUUAAGAAUAACGGAGGUGACACUUCUCUUCAGUUUCUCGUGUGCGACACGUGACGGACGCUGCUGUACCUGCAGUCGACACAGACAUGAUGACGGCCUUCCUGUGGAUUCCUCUGCGGCCCACACUGGCGUCGAUGAGGCUCUGGAUGGCGGCGUCCACGACCCUGUGCACGUGGUCGCUCCCCGGGCCCUGUCGCGUCUGCAGCCACAGGAUAAACACCACUCCUGCACUCAACCUGCACGCACACACACACACACACACAAAUACACACACACACACGAUCUCUAUGACCAGCGAGCAUCUUCUAUUGGCUAAUGAAGACACUGUGACACAGUUCAAAAAGGUUGAAGAAUAUUUCAGCAGCUGUAUGAGCCGCUUAAGAUAAGAUGAACCUUUGUUGAUCUAGACUGACAGAGCAGCCGAAACUAUUAAUAAUAAAAAAUAGAAAUGUUAUAUACAAGGCUGUUGUUCUAAUGUGCAACACAAAUUGUCCAAAACACCAACCUCUUUAUUCUUUUAGGCAACAGGGACGUGUGCAGAGUUUCCAGCCGCUCACUGAUCUGCACAGAAAAAUAAAUGAAAGGCGUGUCGACUGGUGUUGGGAGGAAGUGAAGACGUGUCGUCCAUCUUUAUUUACAGUUCAUCAGGAAAUAAAACACGCUGGACCUUUAUUCUCCCACAUGACGAAAACAUGAAGCUUUUUGUUUUCUUCAGCUCACCAGCGUCUUCACCGACAGCAGCAGCGACGCGGCCACGUUGUCCCAGGACUCGUCCACUUCCUGCCUGAAGUUCACCUCAACGGCCACUUCCAACAGGUGACCUGAGAAGAAGAAGCUCUCAAGUAAAAUAUUCGGAGCCGAGUGUGAUGAUUCUGUGACGAUGAGGAUGAGACGCAGUGAAAAGUCAGAAAUACUCACCACCAGGAAGAAACCAGCGACCGCGCAUAAAGACCACCAGUGUAUCAAGACCACCAGUGUAUCAAGACCACCAGUGUAUCAAGACCACCAGAGACUGAAUAUCUAACAGAACAGUUGACCUUGUAUUUACAGUUCAAAGUAGCCACAGCUGAAUUUACUCACUGUUCCCUCUGUGGUCCGACAGCGGCUCCACCAUGUUGGGGUGAGGAUGAGUCUGUUCGGUCUCAGAGGCGGAGGGAUGCUGGUCUGAGGCCUCGCUGACCUUAGGUCUGUUUUCACUGUCUGCAGCUUGUUCUGAACCAGCAGCAGACUCCUCCUCUUCUGACCGGCCGUGUGAACCACUCUCAUCCUCUGGACCGGUCGAAGCUUCCUCUGGAAGGAUCAAAGCUUCUUCUGGAAGGAUCAAAGCUUCUUCUGGAAGGGUCGAAGCCUUUUCUGGACCGGCAACAUCCUCCGGAACAGUCGAAGCUUCCUCCGCGUUCCUUCGUACUGCUGCUGGGAUGCGAUCGUUUUGAUGAUUUUGAGUGUGAUGCUGCUGAGGAGUCACUGGGUCGACAGGUGAGUCUGAGUGACUGGAAGCGGUGGGUGCAGCAUCUCUUCCUGAUCGGGACGUCCCCUGAGUGGACGCUGGCGCUGUGGGUACAGCUGUUAACGGGUACAUGUGACUGUAGUUUCCCAAGGAUGGAUGGAGGUUUUCGCUCACCUGAGAAAACAUGAUGAUGAUGUGAUUUAUCAACAAGUCAAAACUUCCAACCAUUAGUACCGCUGGAGUUGAGGGUUUGAGUCCCACCCCAGUGUGUGUUCACCCACCUCAGCGUCUGUGUCCGCCGCCUCCUCAGGCUGCCACAGCUGCUCAGCCAUCAUGACUGAAUGUUGAUCAUAAUAAUCAUACAAUGGAUCAAUGUUCACUGGUGAUGGAUGAAAAUUGGGCUCCGGCUGUUCACCAUUCAUUCCAAAGUCAGUGACGUCCACUGGUCCGAGAGCUGGUUCUGAGGUCUCGUCUCCCACUGUGAACCCGUCCUGUGGGUUGUAAAUCACUGGCGGUCCAAAUGCCUGGAAGCGGCCGUAGAAGCCCCUGUAGGGCGAGUCGGGCCAGGCACCAAUCAGCAGCACCACGUUCAGGGUGUUGGAAGUCGUGGUGUACUUGGCCUCACGCCAGCACUUCUGCAGGAUCUUGUGGACCCCAAAACGACCGAGGGGCUCGUCCACGUGGAUCUGGUCCUGUUUGAGGUGGCAGACGUCGUCGGGGGUCAAGUCCUCCAAGUGGAGAUGAAUCCUCUUCCCAGGAUCCACCUGGAUGGUCCAGUUGCACCACAGAGACGGGUUGGAGCACAGGUAGUCCGGCGAGAAAAACUCUCCGGUGUCGCUGCGCAGCAGCUGGUGGCAGCUCUGCAGGGCGAAGAACGCGUCGUCAUGACCUCGGUGUCCAUCUGAGGAAGAAACGCACCAACUUCAGAGAAACAUACCAACAACCUCGUGAGUUUCAGCUCAUCAGAGUACAGCUGUGUGAAUGACACAUGACCGACGGGAGUAUUUGAACACGUUUGAAAAGAGUCAAUGUGUUGGACAUUAAACUAAUCAGGUUAUUUAUGUUUUCAAAGGAACUUGAUGGAUGAAAAUUACUAAAUUCAUACUUUUCACAAUUUCCAUUAAAGGUUUAGUGUGUAGGAUUUAGUGACAUCUAGUGGUGAAGUGUCAUGUUGCAGCUGAACACCCCUCACCUCUCCAGAACCUGUGGUAGCUUCAGUUGUCAU